rnacentral:hammerhead_ribozyme from 1 species
AUCCAGCUGACGAGUCCCAAAAAUAGGACGAAACGCACGUCGUUAAU